rnacentral:rRNA from 1 species
UGGGGAAUAUUGGACAAUGGGCGCAAGCCUGAUCCAGCAAUGCCGCGUGAGUGAUGAAGGCCUUCGGGUUGUAAAGCUCUUUCGCACGCGACGAUGAUGACGGUAGCGUGAGAAGAAGCCCCGGCUAACUUCGUGCCAGCAGCCGCGGUAAUACGAAGGGGGCUAGCGUUGUUCGGAAUUACUGGGCGUAAAGGGCGCGUAGGCGGUGUGUCAAGUCAGGCGUGAAAGCCCCGGGCUCAACCUGGGAACAGCGCUUGAGACUGGCACGCUCGAGUUCGGGAGAGGAUGGUGGAAUUCCCCAGUGUAGAGGUGAAAUUCGUAGAUAUUGGGAAGAACACCGAUGGCGAAGGCAGCCAUCUGGACCGACACUGACGCUGAGGCGCGAAAGCGUGGGGAGCAAACAGGAUUAGAUACCCUGGUAGUCCACGCCGUAAACGAUGAGUGCUAGACGUCGGGGCCCUUAGGGUUUCGGUGUCGCAGCUAACGCAUUAAGCACUCCGCCUGGGGGAGUACGGCCGCAAGGUUAAAACUUAAAUGAAUUGACGGGGUCAUAGCUGUUUCC